UCCCUGGCAGUCCAGUGGUUAGGAUUCUCUGCCUCUACUGCAGAGGUCACAGGUUCUAACCCUGCUCAGGGAA
rnacentral:tRNA from 1 species